rnacentral:rRNA from 1 species
GACGAACGCUGGCGGCGUGCUUAACACAUGCAAGUCGAACGGAAAGGCCCUUCGGGGUACUCGAGUGGCGAACGGGUGAGUAACACGUGGGUGAUCUGCCCUGCACUUUGGGAUAAGCCUGGGUAACUGGGUCUAAUACCGAAUAGGACCACGCGCUUCAUGGGGUGGGGGGGAGAGCUUUGGCGGUGUGGGAUGGGCCCGCGGCCUAUCAGCUUGUUGGUGGGGUAAUGGCCUACCAAGGCCACGACGGGUAGCCGGCCUGAGAGGGUGACCGGCCACACUGGGACUGAGAUACGGCCCAGACUCCUACGGGAGGCAGCAGUGGGGAAUAUUGCACAAUGGGCGGAAGCCUGAUGCAGCGACGCCGCGUGAGGGAUGACGGCCUUCGGGUUGUAAACCUCUUUCAAUAGGGACGAAGCGCAAGUGACGGUACCUAUAGAAGAAGCACCGGCCAACUACGUG